GACGAACGCUGGCGGCGUGCUUAACACAUGCAAGUCGAACGGAAAGGCCCUGCUUUUGUGGGGUGCUCGAGUGGCGAACGGGUGAGUAACACGUGAGUAACCUGCCCUUGACUUUGGGAUAACUUCAGGAAACUGGGGCUAAUACCGGAUAGGAGCUCCUGCUGCAUGGGGGGGGUUGGAAAGUUUCGGCGGUUGGGGAUGGACUCGCGGCUUAUCAGCUUGUUGGUGGGGUAGUGGCUUACCAAGGCUUUGACGGGUAGCCGGCCUGAGAGGGGGACCGGCCACAUUGGGACUGAGAUACGGCCCAGACUCCUACGGGAGGCAGCAGUGGGGAAUAUUGCACAAUGGGCGGAAGCCUGAUGCAGAAACGCCGCGUGCGGGAUGACGGCCUUCGGGUUGUAAACCGCUUUCGCCUGUGACGAAGCGUGAGUGACGGUAAUGGGUAAAGAAGCACCGGCUAACUACGUG
rnacentral:rRNA from 1 species